CCCGUCUCUGCCCCUACUCUCUGCAGCACUACAGGAAAGCUCUUUGCUGUCUCGGUUCCUGAUCUGUGCAACAAGUGUGAGAGCACGUUCAAUCUCACUGUCGUGUUGUGAUAAUAAUACAGUAACUGUCCCAUGACUGGGAGCUGUGAUGACAGGAGGGGGAAGGCCACACAUUGGCCUCAGAAAGGUUACACCAUAAGAUGAGAUCACCCAGAGAGAAUGUUUAGUUUUCCAAGACUGUGGAUAUAAGGAUGCAGGGGGGAGGUGCUUAGUCCUGGUUCUCAGAAGAACGGUGCUUUCACUAUCAGCUCUUAAAGAAAGCAUAUGAGGAAUCAAACUCAGUUGUUCAUCGUAUGAACAAGAUUUCUAAGCAGGAGAACUGACAGCCGAAUGCACACAGUGCCCUUCUUGUCUUGGCAGAAAUGUUGUCAACAACGUGAUGCAGUGGAUCUGUAUACCCUUAGAGAGGAUUCCUCUGCCCAAAUAAGAACAACUGAAAGCCAGGCAUGACUGCUCUGGGUUCCCUUUGCAGCCCUGAUUUAUUGCAUCCUAAGGUUCUUCUCUGCAGAGCUGCUUUCCAGGACUCAGCACUUCUUGUUGAACUCAGGGAGGUUCCUGUCAGCCCUACUCUCCAGCCUGUCAAGAUGGCUCUGGAUAGCACCACUCUCUGGAAAUGGACUCGGACUUCGUGUGCUUGUUCCAUGGCUUACUCAGAUAGUCAUGCAGGAGCUGGGAAACAGUAGGAAGGAGCAAGGCAUGGAGCAAAGUAGAGGAGAAAAUGUGAAGAGAAAUUAAUAGGACUGAGAAGGACUCACCCACCCCUGCCCUUCUGUCCUCUGCAGUACCAACUGCAUGGAGCCUACCUUGUUCAUGCUUCUAACAUCAGCUAUUGGAUUAUCUUAUCCCCAGAUGGUUUCUGAUAGCAUUAAACAUUUGCCUGCAACAGCCUGAUGCUCCUUUCCAGGAGCACUCAGCUCAGCAGACCUUCUAGCUAGAUCAGCUCCUCAAAAUAAGGCACAGGGUGCACCUGCCACUGAUUGCACCAUUGAUGUGGCAACAAGAAUCUGCCUGCAUCUCUCUAACCAUCAUACAUUUGUCUAACCAGGCUGGGAUAUCGGUAACAAACUAGAUGUCACUAAUCAUGUAGGAUAUCAGAGCAUGAUGUCCAGGUUGGUUUAACUUCAUGAAUUCUGGGACUCGGAAGAUGAUUGAGACCUCAAAAGCCCAUUUUUGGCUCUUCCACUGGGUCUGUUGGCUUGUCUGUAGUCCUUGGAACAGGACAGCAUUCACUUCUGAGUUGGUCCCUUAUUGAUCAUUCUCAUAAUACACAGAGCACCCACAGGCUUAGUCCCACUAUCCCACCAUGCAGAGUUGGGUUGGGUAAUCUUCCCUGCCACAGCCAAAGCAUCUCAGUAGCUUUUGUACUUGAGCAGGAGCAGGAUGAACAAGAAGAAUGAACACUGAGACUUUUACCCUCAUUUCUUUGUCCCAUAAAGGUAAGUCUUUCUCCUGGAGUUUGGUCAUGUUGUGUUGUGAACUUUUUCCACUGGAGGCAUUCACCACCCCCUAGCUCUGUCCCCACUGACUCCACAGAACCCCAGCCCACAAUGGGAAAGAGUUACGUGAGCUUUUGGAAUUAAAGUUAGUUGCCUAAAUUACACAGACUGAGCCCCACCCAGACUCUCGAUAGUCAGAAGAUGGACAGCCAGUUCUGCCAGGGGUAAGGACAGUUUACAGUUUUUCUUCUGUCUGCAUGAUCUGCUUUAAAUUCUGCUGCAGUGCAGCUGUAGCGUGCUGUUAAUAUUUGAUGCUCAACACCCAUAAGCCUGCUGCAAAUCACAACGGGUGACUCCCACUGUUUUGCUAAUUAGAUCUGUUACAAUUGUUUGGGAUGACUCUACAGACCACAGGGUCCUUUUCAUUAUUAAUUAUUAUUAUAUCAUUAAGCUGUAUCUAGCUACAUAGACUUUUACCUACAUGAUUUUUUCAUAUUUGUUUACAGUAUGAAAAAUAAGAAAGCCAUCCUUAAGUGGUGCAUGGAAACAGUGAUGGAUUCAAACGAUUAGCAAAACUAAUGAACAGAAAUCUGUCAUAUUGCUGGGCAAAAUGUCACCACGGUAUGUGACUACGAAUGACUCAAUUGCUCUUUAAAGGAAUGCUUGCGUCUCUCAUGAUGCUGGGAAUCCUAAUUGACUAAUACUUUCAAAGCACUUGGAGCUGCUCAGAUGAAAGACUUCCCCGAAUGCAAAGUAUUACUACAUGUGAGGUUCAUGUCUGGAGCAAGUUUUUAAAACAAACCAUAUGAAAAGCAGAAUUAAGAGUGGAAAUGCUGAUCCAGCCAUUAUUUACUUCCCAUCGGAGAGUGGGCAGAGGGUCUCCUUUUAUGUUGUUUAUUUCAAACAAACAACUCUGGGAAUCUCCCGUGGAAAAGAAAUGCAAAAACCCAUGCCCUUUCAUGGGUAUUUUUGGUUUAUCUCCGCAUGAAUCUGAAAUUCAUCAUGUGGAGAGAAUGUGGAGAAACAUUUUUUUCCCCUGUAUACACACUCACUUUCCCACAAUGAAUAAAACCUGUUUUCUUGCAGUGUUUGUCCACUUCUUCACCCAAGGGUAACAAAAUGACCCGGAAAGCAGGAACACCCUGUCCAUGAACCCUGCUGGAAAAUAAAUAAAUAUAAAUCCAUACAUUCAUAAAUAAAGACACAGAAAAAGAGGGAUGACUCGGAAGGUUCCCAGGAAAACCAGCUGUGUCUAAUGCCGCCACCAUGGACACACGAGCCCCAGAGCUCCUAAUUCCUCAGCUAUUGCUCAGCAGUGAGUCAGAAGCUGUCACUGAGUGACUCACAGCAACUCCAGAAUGCAGCUGAGCUUGUGUCACCGGGCAGGCAGGCUUCGGGGAGUCUGAGUGGGGCAGGGGGGCAGUGUCCCUGCUGUUACUCUGCGCUCCAGUGACAGCUGCUGGUAUGCAGGCUGCCGUGGCAGAGGUGAUGGCACAUUCAGUUCUCCAAAGGCACUUUGCUUACGAUGCCGUCAUCUUUUCCACCCUCCUUCCAGCGCACACGCGUACACCUCACUCUACCUGAUUUAACUCUUCAGCUACGAAGAUUUCCCUGCUUGAGAUACGGCACCUAAGGAGGAGUUGGCUGUUGGAUGAGGCCCUUCUCUGGCUGUGUGGAAGUACUGAUCUAAAUCUGCACUGAAGGAGGCAGACAGCUACCACAAGAGCAUUCUCCCUGUGUUGAGAAUACCACUGGAAGCCUCCAAGAUUCUGCAUGGCUCCUCUGGCCUGUGCUGAUGUGCUGGCAGCUACUGCACGUUACAGCUGACACAAAGCCUUGAUGCUGACAGAGGUUGCAUGUGGUUUUGCUGCAGGCCAGCAGUCAGCCCCAGCGAUACCAUCCAGCCCUGCCCUGCUGCCGACCUUUCCUGCCACUUCUCACUUUUCAUUUGUUUGCUUUCUUUAUCAGCCCUGGCCCUUGUCAAUACAAAGCACAGAACUGGGUGUGUGGGAGUUAGGGAGGAGGCUGCAGCCCUCUGUGAACUGUUAUUUUCGGACAGAGAUUGGCUGCAGUCAUUUAUCCCUUGCCAAAGAGUUUAAAAACGGCACGCUUGCUGAUCCAGGUGAUUUUACGAGGAGGUGGUGCCUGCCAUUUCCCAUCACAGCUACUGAUUGCUAAUCAUACAGCUGAUAUUAUACUGCGGACAGCUGAGUUAAAGGGAAUUCCCGUAAGAGCCUCAUGCCAUACAGAUAACAGUUUCUUUAAGAGCCUGAAAAUUCUCAGACAGGUGAAUUUUUCCGCUCCAGGUUGGAUGGGGCCAUGGGCAGCCUGAUCUAGUGGGUGGCAACCCUGCCCACGGCAGUGGAGUUGGAACUAGAUGGUCUUUAAGGACCCUUCAACCCAAGCCAAUCUAUGAUUCCCUGAUUCUGUGAUUCCUCUUACUACAGUUCAUGUUAGUGGCUUGGCUGUUAGGAAGAUAAUCCUUGGGAUUAGGGUGAGGACAGAGUCAUACAUAAAUAUAGCAAAUGGAAAACGCUCCACUUGUCAUUCAUAAAGCUCUCCUUCUAGGAACGGAGGGGAUGGCUGCCGGUCACAGAGAGCAGGGCAAACAUGUCUCCUCUGUGCAGUUUGGUGUUUUUUUCUGAUUUUGUAGUAGUCAGAAACAGCAAUUUUUUUGAAGUCGCCUUUUCACACAUCUAAGUGAAACCUUAAAAAUCAGUUUGGCUAAGAAGGUAAUGAGUAUGAAGUAUAAAUUAUCAUCCUUCAUUAGAAGCUUUUCACCCUGCUUUAUCCCUUCAUCGUAUAGACUCAUGUUGCCAUAGAAGAAGCAGCAAUGUCAGAACAUGACUUAAAAUAAUUCCACUGAUCAAGUGUUAAUUGCACUCUUGUACAAUCAAAGCAGUCUGCUCAGGAACACGUUAAGCUUACCUUUGUGACAGCAAAUCAUUGCCAAACCCUCCUUUGGCCAAACUCUUCUGCAAACACUGUUAUAACAGUAAACAUUUUAUUGGCUCAGAGCUGGAAGGGACCAUUAAAACUCUGGUUACCAUAAAUUGUGACAUUUGUUGCACAGCAGCUGUACAUGUACAUGUUCCCAUUGCCACGGCAGAUGCAAGAGUGAAGUGGGUUAACCCAACUGUCUGCUCGCCUCAAGGUAACUCAGAAUGCUGCAGCGUAUUUUCACUUGUAAUUAAGCUGCCUCAAACUGCCCUCAGAGCAGCAGUGAUCGGGGAUGCGCAUGGAUGCUUCAGGUGGCACAAUCAUUUUACCCCUCAGUAACCUGUGUAAUGGCUUUUGUUCAUGGUCUGUGUCUUUGAUCGCCUUCUUGACUUCUUUAAUAUCACAAGGCAUUAUCAGGAUAUUUCAUCAUUUUGCGGGUUGCAAAGUCUCACUCAGCACCAUUUUUAUUAAUCCGUAGUGUUAAUGGAGUCUUUCAAUGGCAAAGAGUUUUCCAGCAAAAAUAAGGGAUCAGGACGGGCUUGUGGCCCAUUACUAGAUGCAAGGUCAAUUGUGCUCCUUCAAACGACAAUCUGACUUCUAAGGAAAAAGAUUAUGCCCAUACUUUCACCGUGUUAGAUGUAAAAAUGUACUCUUGCACUGUACUGAGAACUAUUUUUGCAUUAAAAAUGACUAAAAUGUGUAGCUGCAUCACAGCAGCAUUCUAGUCCUAUUGGAGCUAAUUGUGAAACCUGUAAUGCCUUCUAGCAGAGGAAGAUCAAAACGUAUGCAUAUAAACAAUACAGUGUUUAAAUAAAUCCAAGUUAUAAGCAUAUGUUUCACUAUAAAUUGAUUCUGUUGAUCUUAGAAAUCAAGAUGUCAAAUAAUGUGUUUUCCUCUCUGUACUGUCCAUUACUCUUCAGGUAUUUAGACACUGAGGGUCAUGCACAUGCAUUACAGGGUUAAUGCCAUGCUCAGGCCAUUAAUAGUAAGAUGGCAAGAAAACAGAAGAAAAAAAACCCACCAUUUAUGUGAGACAAGACAGGAGAAUUUAUUGACUGAAGUGUCUUUAUCUUCAUGUUCAUUUUUCAUUUUAAGAGGUGUAAGUAUAAACCAUCGUCAUUAUCAUUUAGAACCAAUCAAAGCCAGGAAUGACAUCCAAAGGUCUGAUUAAGGCUCUACUUGCAUGAUGCAGAUGGGUUUUGUCUUGAUGACAGAUAAAUCCCUCACUACUGAAGAAUAACAUCAUCAGAGCAGAAGUCAGGGAAAUAAACUGUGACAAAGAGAGCCAGUGAUAGAUGGCCAAGUGAGCAAGGGACUGACAGCAAGGACAUAUGGAUCCAGUUCUCAGCUCCAUCACUGUCUGAGUAUGUGACCAUGAACAAGAAGCCUGUGCAUAUUCCUUCAUCUGGAAUGUCCAUCAGACAAUAUGGACUUAGCACAAGAGCACGUUAGUAUUCCAGAAAAAGAUUUUGAAAUUUACCUCAUGGGACAGGCUGCAGUACUGAAGAUUUUUAAAGCCAUACAGGAAUUGGUGGUCUUGGGAUCAUCUGUGGCUAUUGGUCAGUUACCUGAUGUCUUGUAUUUGUUAGAGGUGAACAGAAGGAUUCUGUGACACUGCAUCCAGAGUUGACAUGUGAAUCCUUGUGGACUGACGAUCAAGUAUACAAUUUCUUGUAGCUGGGAAAGGUUGGCAUGAUGCCUCAUCCUGGAAGCAUUCAAGGGUUGAUGGGGCUGUGAGACAACCUGGUCCAAAGGGAGGUGUCCCUGUCUAUAGCAGGGGUUUGGAAGUAGAUGAUCUUAAAGGUUCCUUCCAACCCAAACCAUUCUAUGAUUCUAUGAUCUUUGUAGAGCCUUCAAACCCCACUGACCCAGUUUGCCUCCCUGUGUAUGCUGAAUAUAUUGAACCCAUACAUUCCUAGAAUCAUAGAACUUAUUGGGUUGAAAGGGACCUUAAAGCCCACCCAGUUCCAUGGGCUGGUUGCCCCCCACCAGCUCAGGCUGCCCAGGGUCCAUCCAACCUGGCCUUGAGCACCUCCAGGGAUGGGGCACCACAGCUCUCUGGGCAGCAGUGCCAGGGCCUCACCACUGAGUAAAGAAUCUCUUCCUAACAUCUAAAUCUCCCUUCUUUUGGUUUAAAGCCAUUCCCCCUUGGCCUCUCACUAUCAGACCAUGUAAAAAAGUUGGUCCCUCUCCUGCUAAUAAGCUCCUUUAAAUACAGGAAGGCUACAAUGAGAUCUUUCCGGAGCCUUCUCUUCUCCAAGCUGAGCAAGCCCAGAACUUCUGCCUUGAAUAAAUGUUUAUCUAGAAUGCAUGUACUUUACCAUAUAAGCAUUACACUACAGAUACUCUAUCUAUAUAUGCAUCUUUAUGUAUGUUUUAUUCAGCAACAUGAAAAAGAAUACUACAGCAGAUGAAGAUGUUGUUGCCUUAUGUAUGAGGAGCCCACCGUAACUAUCUGUGGUCCAUUGGGCUCCAGAAUCUUCUACUACACUUAGUUUUUCUUGCCACUGUUUGUAGUAGGGAAAGGUCUUGAUCAAAUUCAUGGCCCCUGUUGUGGAAAGUCUUCCUGUGCCACAAUGAAUUUAAAUGAAAGUCUGCAUGAAUAGCUAGUAUACAGUCACUGCAAAAUAGAACAAACCAGCUGCACAAUGCCAAGAAUUGUCAGGGCAUGUGGUUUGGAAAACACUACAAUGUAAGUUUAUAGCUGCAGCUCAAUUCAUUUCCUGAGAGGAAAGAUAAUGCUGUAGAAGAAUAGACACUAUACGGUCCCUCUUUAUGUGGCAUUCAUCCGUUAGAAAGUUUAUUUCAUUGGCAUUCUUGUAGAUGUCAAACUGCUAAACGCAAGGCUGCAGCACAAAGAAAUUUCUUAAAUUACUGGGGGAAUAAAUUAGCUCUUAUAACAUGCUUUGAAAUUUCAAUUGCGUUCUGUAGCAAAAAGCAAGUCCCCGAGUGUGUAUAGAAUCCCAUUCCACGGACCAUUGUUUCCUUCCUGCUGCU
ensembl:lncRNA